rnacentral:rRNA from 1 species
AAUAUUGGUCAAUGGAGGCAACUCUGAACCAGCCAUGCCGCGUGCAGGAUGACGAUCCUAUGGAUUGUAAACUGCUUUUGUACAGGAAGAAACCCAACUACGUGUAGUUGAUUGACAGUACUGUAAGAAUAAGGACCGGCUAACUCCGUGCCAGCAGCCGCGGUAAUACGGAGGGUCCGAGCGUUAUCCGGAAUUAUUGGGUUUAAAGGGUUCGUAGGCGGUCAGAUAAGUCAGUGGUGAAAUUUCUUAGCUUAACUAAGACACUGCCAUUGAUACUGUUUGACUUGAAUUAUAUGGAAGUAACUAGAAUAUGUAGUGUAGCGGUGAAAUGCUUAGAUAUUACAUGGAAUACCAAUUGCGAAGGCAGGUUACUACGUAUUGAUUAACGCUGAUGAACGAAAGCGUGGGGAGCGAACA